UACGAAGGGUGCAAGCGUUGCUCGGAAUUAUUGGGCGUAAAGGGUAGGUAGGUGGUUACGUAUGUCUGGGGUGAAAUCCCUGAGCUUAACUCAGGAAGUGCCUUGGAAACGGCGUAACUAGAGUACUAGAGAGGUUCGUGGAAUUCCCGGUGUAGCGGUGAAAUGCGUAGAGAUGUGGAGGAACACCGAUGGCGAAGGCAGCCCCCUGG
rnacentral:rRNA from 1 species